CUCCCCGUGUCCCGGCGGACAGGGCACGGCCUCCGAAGCCGGAGAUCGCAGGUUCGAAUCCUGCCGGGGAGA
rnacentral:tRNA from 1 species